UCGAGGAUCUUCGGCAAUGAGCGCAAGCUUGACCGAGCGACGCCGCGUGUGGGACGAAGGCCUUCGGGUUGUAAACCACUGUCGAGGGGGAGGAAGCUGGCGUAAGCCAGUUGACCUAUCCCUGGAGGAAGCACGGGCUAAGUUCGUGCCAGCAGCCGCGGUAAGACGAACCGUGCGAACGUUGUUCGGAUUCACUGGGCUUAAAGGGCGCGUAGGCGGAUUCGUAAGUUCGGGGUGAAAUCCUUCGGCUCAACCGGAGAAGUGCCUCGGAUACUGCGAGUCUCGAGGGAGGUAGGGGCCGCGGGAACUUCCGGUGGAGCGGUGAAAUGCGUUGAUAUCGGAAGGAACGCCGGUGGCGAAAGCGCGCGGCUGGUCCUCUUCUGACGCUGAGGCGCGAAAGCUAGGGGAGCAAACGGGAUUAGAUACCCCCGUAGUCC
rnacentral:rRNA from 1 species